AAUGAACGUUGGCGGCGUGGAUUAGGCAUGCAAGUCGUACGAGAAUCGUAGCAAUACGAGGAAAGUGGCGGAAGGGAGAGGAUUACGUGGGAAUCUACCCUCAGAACUGGGAUAGCGGCGGGAAACUGCUGGUAAUACCAGAUAAUGUCUGUGGACCAAAGGUGUGAUUCCGUCUGGGGAUGAGCCCACGUCCUAUUAGUUAGUUGGCAGGGUAAUGGCCUACCAAGGCAAUGAUGGGUAGCGGGUGUGAGAGCAUGACCCGCCUCACUGGGACUGAGAACUGCCCAGACACCUACGGGUGGCUGCAGUCGAGAAUCUUCGGCAAUGAGCGCAAGCUUGACCGAGCGACGCCGCGUGCGGGAUGAAGGCCUUCGGGUUGUAAACCGCUGUCGUAGGGGAGCAAGAGAUGAGGGUACUCCCUCUGAUUUGAGCGAUCCUAGGAGGAAGGACGGGCUAAGUUCGUGCCAGCCGCCGCAGUAAGAC
rnacentral:rRNA from 1 species